AGUGAACGCUGGCGGUAGGCCUAACACAUGCAAGUCGAACGGCAGCACAGUAAGAGCUUGCUCUUACGGGUGGCGAGUGGCGGACGGGUGAGGUAUACAUCGGAAUCUACUUUUUCGUGGGGGAUAACGCAGGGAAACUUACGCUAAUACCGCAUACGACCUACGGGUGAAAGCAGGGGAUCUUCGGACCUUGUGCGAUUGAAUGAGCCGAUGUCGGAUUAGCUAGUUGGCGGGGUAAAGGCCCACCAAGGCGACGAUCCGUAGCUGGUCUGACAGGAUGUUCAGCCACACUGGAACUGAGACACGGUCCAGACUCCUACGGGAGGCAGCAGUGGGGAAUAUUGGACAAUGGGCGCGAGCCUGAUCCAGCCAUACCGCGUGGGUGAAGAAGGCCUUCGGGUUGUAAAGCCCUUUUGUUGGGAAAGAAAAGCAGCAGGUUAAUACCCCGCUGUUCUGACGGUACCCAAAGAAUAAGCACCGGCUAACUUCGUG
rnacentral:rRNA from 1 species